rnacentral:rRNA from 1 species
AUGUUCGUCGGUGGUGCCAGCGGGCGGCAUCAGCGGCCGGACCCGCCGGUGCCGCCGGAGAUGAGGGGCGUGCAGGCGCAGCUCACGGGGCUCACCAACGACGUCGCCAGGACCAUCUCCGAUAGCUUCAGCUUAUACGUCUCCGACACGACUUGCUCUCUUCUGCUGUACGAGCCCGACGACUUUGAUUUGGCGGUGAUUGAUCCGGGCUGUGAUUUGCGCAGGCAGGGGGACUGGAACGGGCCCUUCAACUACACCUCCGACCUCGGCUUCGUGCAGCGCUGCCUCGCCGAAACCAGAGGUCAAAGUAGGCAAGUAAAAGGGUUCGCAAAAGGAAAUCUGUAUUGUGUUUCUGAUUUCGCUGUCAUCAUGCAGUCACAUGUCCUGUACCCGGCACAAGAUGCACACUAG